UACGUAGGGUGCAGGCGUUAAUCGGAAUUACUGGGCGUAAAGCGUGCGCAGGCGGUUUGCUAAGACAGGUGUGAAAUCCCCGGGCUUAACCUGGGAACUGCGCUUGUUACUGGCAAGCUGGAGUGUGGCAGAGGGGGGUGGAAUUCCACGUGUAGCAGUGAAAUGCGUAGAUAUGUGGAGGAACACCGAUGGCGAAGGCAGCCCCCUGGGUCAAAACUGACGCUCAUGCACGAAAGCGUGGGGAGCAAACAGG
rnacentral:rRNA from 1 species